CAUGGGGUAGAUCAGUGGCAGAUCACCCGCUUCCCACGGGGAGGGCGCGGGUUCGAUUCCCGCCUCCAUGU
rnacentral:tRNA from 1 species